CUCCCUCUCUGAGAACCACAACAUACCACCAGCGCCACAUCGUCGUCACUCUGGCGAGCACCAUCACAAACCCCACCUGACCACCUAUGUCAGGAACUUAGAACCCUGGACUGGACACCCUCUCUCUCCACAGUGGCGCUGCCACUAUUCACAAAAAUUCCUCCGGUGAGUUCUCAUCGUCCCCAGCAAAGAAAUACCACAGGAAAACUUCCCCAAUUUUCCGGUGAAGGACCCAUGUGUUUGCAUGCUAUUUCCAGCCAACUUCGGCCACGACCCAGCCUUUUUUUGGUGCUUUUGUUAGUGGCGAUCUUGUCCUCCCUAGUUCGAAUGGCUCUUCGGCGACGGAGUAUUUGUGAGUGGACCCCUUCUUAAAUUGCAUGAUUCUUUAUUAAAUGCUAGGCUUGCAUUCAUGAAAACAUGAUUUCAUGAUUUUACAUUUUAUGCAUUAU